rnacentral:rRNA from 1 species
UAGUCCACGCCGUAAACGAUGUCAACUAGCCGUUGGGAGCAUAUAAGCUCUGAGUGGCGCAGCUAACGCGAUAAGUUGACCGCCUGGGGAGUACGCCGGCAACGGUAAAACUCAAAGGAAUUGACGGGGGGCCCGCACAAGCGGUGGAGCAUGUGGUUUAAUUCGAUGCAACGCGAAAAACCUUACCUACCCUUGACAUCCUCAGAACUUGUUAGAGAUAACUUGGUGCCUUCGGGAACUGAGUGACAGGUGCUGCAUGGCUGUCGUCAGCUCGUGUCGUGAGAUGUUGGUUAAGUCCAGCAACGAGCGCAACCCCUGUGGCUAGUUACUACCAUUAAGUUGAGGACUCUAGUCAGACUGCCCAGAUCAACUGGGAGGAAGGUGGGGGAUGGACGUCAGGGUCAGUAUGGGCCCUUACGCCUAGGGGCUGCACACGUACUACAAUGCUCAGUACAAUGAGAACCGAUCCCG